CUAGCAAGAAACAAAGAAGUAUUCAUGUAGACAUCCAUAUGAGAGAGGAGUGCCAGGACAUGGUGGGAGUGGCGGUAACAUCCAGCGUAUGGACUGAAACCCAACUGAAACAAGAGUGAUGCUCACGUUGUCAGAGUGGGAAGGGAAGAGUGGUGCCCAGCAAUUUUGAUACAGCCAGAAGACGAAUCAGUGAUGUCUAGGAAAUGUCACAUGCCCAUCGACAAGGUUUGAGACAGCCAGAGUGAUGUUCCUACAGGAGGACAGCUGCCUGGAUGUUGACCCUUUGCUAAGGGCAAAAGGCAAUCUUAGCUUAACAUUAUCUGGACAUCAUGGAUGCGAAUAGGCUUCAAGUCUAAACUAACUAAUUCAUCUGGUGAUGAAUUAGCAAUCUGUUCCCAUGCUGAAAGGAAAACUGGGUGUGUUGAUCUUAUUGAGUGAUGAUGUCUUCUGAAGAUAUUCCCAAAGAAUUUUAAAUGACUUUUUAGAAACUCUCAGUCUCUGUAUACAAUAAGAUGGCCAUCAUUGUCCUCUGCAAUCUAAACCACCUCUUGGACUGCUGAUUCUUUUGGUCUGAAAGGGACAGCCUCAGGCCAUGUGACAGUAUUCACCUCAAGGCUACAAUUGAUUGAAUCCAAGUGACUCAAUCCAUCGUUUGGGCUGAGAAAGAGUCUUUUUCUUAAUACUUUAAAUAAAAGAUAGUAAAACCAAGUCAA